rnacentral:rRNA from 1 species
UGGGGAAUAUUGGACAAUGGGGGGAACCCUGAUCCAGCGAUGCCGCGUGAGUGAAGAAGGCCUUAGGGUCGUAAAGCUCUUUAGGUUGGGAAGAAAGGUUAGUGUUUAAGAGAUGCUAGCUGUGACGGUACCGACAGAAUAAGCACCGGCAAACUCUGUGCCAGCAGCCGCGGUAAUACAGAGGGUGCGAGCGUUAAUCGGAAUUACUGGGCGUAAAGGGCGCGUAGGCGGUUAUAUGAGUGUGAUGUGAAAGCCCCGGGCUUAACCUGGGAAGUGCAUCGCAAACGAUAUGACUGGAGUAGAUGAGAGGGUGGCGGAAUUUCCGGUGUAGCGGUGAAAUGCGUAGAGAUCGGAAGGAACGUCGAUGGCGAAGGCAGCCACCUGGCAUCAUACUGACGCUGAGGCGCGAAAGCGUGGGUAGCGAACAGGAUUAGAUACCCCUGUAGUCC